CCAGACGGUUGGACGGCCGCCGUGCCGCUCGCGGCGCGGAGGAAAGUCCGGGCUCCAUGGAAUGACGGUGCCGGCUAACGGCCGGCGGGGGCGACCCCAGGGAAAGUGCCACAGAAAACAUACCGCCGGUACGCCUCGGCCUGCCGGCAAGGGUGAAAAGGUGCGGUAAGAGCGCACCGCGCCGCCGGCAACGGGGGCGGCAGGGAAAACCCCACCGGGAGCAAGACCGAAUAGGGGCGACCGGCGGCAUGAGCGAUCAUGGCCGCGGAGGGAUUCCGCCUCGUCGCCCGGGUUGGUCGCGCGAGGCACGCAGCGAUGCGUGUCCCAGAUGAAUGGCCGUCCAGCAUCCGCGAGGGUGUGGACAGAACCCGGCUUACAGACCGUCUGGCAUU
rnacentral:RNase_P_RNA from 17 species